rnacentral:SRP_RNA from 1 species
GCCGGGGAGAUAGCGGUUCCCUGUACCUGCAAUCCGCUACAGCAGGGGUGAUGUCUCGCCCCGGGUGCGUGAGUUGUGAAGCUGCCCGCGGUAAGCGGUGUUGACGUGAGGGCCCCUGCGCGGCGGACCUCUCUGAACCAUGUCAGGGCAGGAAUGCAGCAGCAUUAAGGAGAUGUGUACGGGUGAUGCAGGAUCACCGUCACCGAGCAGGCUGCCGUGGUAACGUUCAUGGCUC